GUGCAAAAAAGAAGUCAAAGUGCGUGUCAUUCGGCUUGGCGCCCGUAGUAUUGCUUGGUGUGUGGCGCCGAAACUCUUGGUUCUGAUAGUCGAGACACCCGAGGUCCAGCUGCAACGUGAACCAGAGGCGGUACUGUAGACUCUUCAGAGAGGGAGAGAGGAACCUGGCGACAGCGACAACCAUGUCUGGUGGCAGGAGGGAACCCGAUAAACACACGCCUUUGCCCGGGCUCAAUACGCAUCACGGCUUCCUGAGGCAUGUCGACUGUAACCAGUACCAGCAUCUGAAACAGUUCGAAGAACAAGCGCAGAAACGUGUGCAGGCCGCUAGGGUGACGCGUCGGGUCGGCCUAUCUCCGAAGUCGAC